GAACGCUGGCGGCAGGCCUAACACAUGCAAGUCGAGCGGUAACAGAAAGAAAGCUUGCUUUCUUUGCUGACGAGCGGCGGACGGGUGAGUAAUGCCCGGGAAUAUGCCUUAGUGUGGGGGAUAACUAUUGGAAACGAUAGCUAAUACCGCAUAACGUCUUCGGACCAAAGAGGGGGACCUUCGGGCCUCUCGCGCUAAGAUUAGCCCAGGUGGGAUUAGCUAGUUGGUGAGGUAAAGGCUCACCAAGGCAACGAUCCCUAGCUGGUCUGAGAGGAUGAUCAGCCACACUGGAACUGAGACACGGUCCAGACUCCUACGGGAGGCAGCAGUGGGGAAUAUUGCACAAUGGGGGAAACCCUGAUGCAGCCAUGCCGCGUGUAUGAAGAAGGCCUUCGGGUUGUAAAGUACUUUCAGUCGUGAGGAAGGCAUUGUAGUUAAUAGCUGCAGUGCUUGACGUUAGCGACAGAAGAAGCACCGGCUAACUCCGUG
rnacentral:rRNA from 1 species